GGAGUCCAACAACAUUUGGAGGGCCACAAAUUCUACACCCUGGUAUAAACAACACAGAGACUCAAUAAAUUGUAUAUGAUAAUAACUUACUGUGGAAAUAACUUUCAGUAAAUGCAACAAACCUCUUCCCUGUUACAUGUUUUUAAAUGAUGAAAGGUGUGAACAUUUUAAUCCCAACAGCACUGAAAACAAAAUUGAAAGAAUAUUAAGAGUGGUGGGAUUCUUAUUUUACUAAUUUUCAUAGUGUUUCCUGUUUUUAAAAGUCAUAUUCAUUUCCAGUGACAACAACAAAAUCCAGGCUUUUGUAAUAGUCUUGUGGUGCGAAGAAGUGUAUGUAAAAAUUCACUCUCAGAAGACAGAAUUUAGUCUGUGAUCCAGAGAGUCAAUUAGGUGUGAGAGCAUUUCUAAGGAGAAACCAAAGGGAGAUAGUGCACAUCUGAGAUGACAACAUUCAAAAGGGAAAAACUAUUGCAGCCCAUGCGUGCUCUUUCACUUUUGAAACUAGCUAUUUGUAUGUUUCAGAUUGGUUUGUAGUUAGCCUGUGAAGCUUUCAGAGACUGUCUCUCCCUAACCUCAAAGUUUCAAGGCCAUCAAGUGGCAGAAUCUAGGCCAUGAGUGAAUGCAAAAGUCUUCUGGCCAGGCAGCCCAUCCUUUUAAGAAUCCAUAAGAAUCCAAGAGUUUUGAAAUGCAUAUUGAGUUUCCAUGGCAACAUAAAAUCCCUACAUUCUUAUAAUCAGAAGCUGGGUUUCCACUGAUACUGGCGCGAGAGCUACACAGGUUCAAUCAUUUAUUCAAGAAAUAGAACUACAAUCCCUAUUUUAUUUUGGGGGGGGGCCCAUUUGCAGUGAGGCCAAGGUCACUGGGGCAGGGGCACAUGAAGAAAUAAAAUGACAUGACAACAUGUUGGGAUCAAAAUGGCUCAACCUUUAUUGAUUACAGAUGUCAGUAGGCUUUGGCAUAGGCAGUUGGUAUGUAUCCUGAAUCAACCACCCCAAUUGCAGGCUAAUUACUUCACCAGGGUCAAUCCUGAAUUAAGAAUCCCCAUAAGAUGCACAUCAAAUACAGGCAACCCCUCCAGGAUAGCAGUAGGGGGGUUCCAUGGCCUGUUAGCCCCUGUCUGGGCAUUCAGAUAGAAUCCUUCCCUUUGGAUCCCUUUACUGGGGUACCCUGAUACUUUGAUCAGGAAGAGAGGGUCAUAGCUCCUUCCCACCCCCUCUGUUUAGACUAAGGAUUCAACUCAAUGUUUUUUCCCAAGUUGCUGUGAGCUAAGCAAACCCCUCCAAACUAGCCCAAUCCUCCCAGGCCCCAAAUACAGCGGCCAAGUAACUUCACAGCAAAGUCAUGCACAUGUGUUGCCUGCUUAACUUCGGGCAGGGCCAAACUUUCGGGGUGGGCAGGUAGAACAUCUGUUGCUGACUGCACUGCUGAAGACAAGAGCAGCCAGUUUAAAUGGGUUGGAGAUGGACCUGAGUAAAGCCAGGUACAGGUAGGCUUCAAGCAGGUCUGCCCUAAAAGGACCACCCCCUAAAUUGGCUAUCAUUGGCCCAUUUAAAUUUAAAUUGAACUAGAGGCUCAAAACUCCACAUUGUCAGCCAAGGCUAAUGACAAUGCCAGCCAGUCACAUAGGGAGUUUUUCAGGCCUCCCCCCCCCCACUUGCCAGCAGUUGCAGCAGCAGCCGUCACCGCAAAGAUGGUGAGUGGUCUUUUUCUUAGAUAAAUAGAUCGUGUGUGUGUGCAUCUGUCUGUCCUCUCUCUCACAAGCUUGUUUUAUUCAGAUUUCUACAGAAAGGAAAGAAACCCAAACUAAGCAAUGGAAACUGAAACCCAAUAGCUCACAAAUACACAGAACUACCAUAUAAACUUAAAAUAAGCUGUACUUCCACCUAGGAUAGUAAGAAUGGUGCAUUAACAACAAUUUUCGAAGUAGACUUAUACGGAAAAAUCCAGUUCCACUCUCCUCAUAUUUCUCUCUCUCUCUUUCUCUCUCUCUCUUUCUCUCUCUCUCACACACAGAUAUUUACUUGGUUUGAAAUUCUAAUGGUUGUUGAUAUGCCCUCCAACUUUAGAUUAUUAAAUAUUAAACAAUAUUUUACAGGUAAGUAACUUCAGGGCAGGGACAGCCAAUGUAAUGCCAUCAAGAUGCUGCUGGACUUCACCUCCCAUCAUUCCCAACCAGCAUGGCCAAUAGCUAGGGAAUAUGGGAGUUGGAGCACCACAACCCCUGAAGGACACCACAUAGUCUACCUCUUCUGAUGGCUAUCUGGCCCACCAAGACUUUCCUUGUGUUUUCCACUGGGUCAGGCUGAAAGUUGUGUGAAAAACUGGAGUGCCAAUACCUAUGAUGGAAAAUGUUACUGUUUUUCAAAAUAACAGCUCUCUUCUGACACCCCUAACAGGAAAUAUGCUUCCAAUGACUUGCUUUUUAGAUCACAAUAAUGUGGUGUUAAAACCAUGACUUCCCUGAAAGGUCAGUUUCACUUAACAGCAAAUUUACUCAUUACCGAAGAUCUGCAGGGCACUUGAUUGUUAACAGAACGACACCUGUGUAGAAUAUUGCGAGCCAUGCCACACAAAGAACAGUAUAAAACCAUGGACCAAAAGUAUUUAUGUGAGCCAGAAAUGAACCCAUAUGGCUGAUAUUUUGAGAGUCAUCAUCUAAAGUUUCCCUUCGAUUUCACCAUAAAUGGCUCCCUUCUUCUUCAUCAUACAUACUGCCUGACAUUUAUCUCAAACCCUUCCACAUAGCUAAAGUACAUGUUAUUUACUGUUAUCAGAGACAAAAUGUAGGAUCUGCAGUACACGUUACCAUGUAAUUACCAUUGCCUGAAGCACGUUGCCAUGCACUUUCCUGGGGAAAUGAUGUGUUAUUUUCACAGUAACUAUGUAAUUAGGAAUUUUCUCUCUAUACCUACAGCAGGAACACAGCUUUGAGAUUUAACAAAGAUUGUUACUUAGAACAACUCUGUUCUGUAUUGAUAGGGAUGCCAUAUCAACACUAUUAUGAGAAUAAGAGAAAGUUCUGAAAUCCUGUGAAGUUAACACAGAAACUAUUAUCCUUUGUCAAAUUUGGAGUGUAUAUUCAAUUGAAUUGUUUUUAAUGAGAAGCACAACUGGGGAAAGUAAUUGUUAGUAAUUGUCACACAUAAGCAUCACUACUUCUAUAUUUCCUCCUUUAUCAAGCUCUUUGCGCGCCUGUAACCAGAGCUCUGUGUGUGUUUAUGUGUGUAAUAAUGUGACAACACACAGUGUGACCUGGAAGUAUUUGUGUUCAUCAGAACAUCUGAAUACAGGGAUUUCUGCCUCACAGUUGCUCUGGAACUUCUGUAAUAAUUGCAGGGAUUAUUGCACCUGCAACAUACAGGGCAUGGUCUUCUUUCAAGGUUUUUAGAUCUGGUGGUGGGACUCACCUGAAUACCUCUCCUUCUGGGGACUCAGGAGCGUUAUGUAAACUACAAAAAUCAUAAAUUGCCAAAAGCUAACCUCAUGCCACUUAAGUAGUAAGAAUUCUAAAGUGUCUGACAAAAGAUAAGAAAACUAUUGGUGCUGUGUCUUUGUAACAAAGUUGAUUGCAGAUUGGUGAAUCUUUGUAAGAUGGCAAAGUGAAAAGAAGAAGAGACUGUAAGGACAGUGAUGCAGGUGAAAGCUGACACGCAGGAAAGAGAAAUCUAUGUUUCUGUCAUGAAAGCUUUGAUGGAGUGUGUUCGUGACGAAACAGU